AAUGAACGCUAGCGGGAUGCCUUACACAUGCAAGUCGAACGGAGUGGCGAACGGGCGAGUAAGGUAUCGGAACGUGCCCAGUAGCGGGGGAUAACUACGCGAAAGCGUAGCUAAUCACGCACACUAUUGGAGUGGCCGAUAUCGGAUUUGCUAGUUGGUGGGGUAACGGCUCACCAAGGCGACGAACCGUAGCAGGUUUGAGAGGACGACCAGCCACACUGGAACUGAGACACGGCCCAGACUCCUACGGGAGGCAGCAGUGGGGAAUUUUGGACAAUGGGGGAAAGCCUGAUGCAGCCAUCCCGCGUGAGCGAUGAAGGCCUUCGGGUUGUAAAGCACUUUUGGCAGGAAAGCGGUACCUGCAGAAUAAGCACCGGCUAACUACGUGCCAGCAGCCGCGGUAAUAC
rnacentral:rRNA from 1 species